rnacentral:miRNA from 1 species
UGAACCCUUUGUCGUGACAUCGA